AAGAACAGACCUCCAGAACGAAUUAAGUUCUUAACCUGAGGUACCACUGUACCGAGUCAGACCACUGGUCUAUCUAGCUCAGUACAGUGGUAACUUGGGUUAAGUACUUAAUUCGUUCCGGAG